rnacentral:rRNA from 1 species
GGACGAGGUGGUGCAUGGUUGUCGUCAGCUCGUGUCGUGAGAUGUUGGGUUAAGUCCCGCAACGAGCGCAACCCUCGACCUUAGUUGCCAGCAUUCAGUUGGGCACUCUAAGGUGACUGCCGGCUAAAAGUCGGAGGAAGGUGGGGAUGACGUCAAAUCAUCAUGCCCCUUAUGACCUGGGCUACACACGUGCUACAAUGGGCGGUACAAAGGGUCGCGAACCCGCGAGGGGGAGCCAAUCCCAAAAAGCCGCUCUCAGUUCGGAUUGCAGGCUGCAACUCGCCUGCAUGAAGCCGGAAUCGCUAGUAAUCGCGGAUCAGCAUGCCGCGGUGAAUACGUUCCCGGGCCUU